UACCUUUGCACCCAGAUUGGUGGCCAUAACUACUGCCGUGGUUGUAGCCUUAAAAGGGAAGCAGGUGUAACUCCUGCGCUGUUCCCGCAACUGUCAUCUUCACCAAAAAGGUUAGCCUAUACCCUACGGCCACUGUGCAGCACACGCUGCGUGGGAAGGCGGGCUAACUGAAGAGAGCCAGGAGACCUGCCAGUCCGACACUGAUUUG
rnacentral:ncRNA from 1 species